CCACAGACUGUAUCCAAUAUCCAAAAAUCUGAAAUUGAAAUACUUAAUAAUAAAUUUAUCUAUAUUAUAUACAAUUCAUUAGCAACACUUGCUUGUUUCACAGUUGCAAAGUAUUCCUUGCAAUUCCUCUUCCAAUGCUCAUCUUUACUGCAGUGAUAGCAAGUACCUUUAGCGAAGACCUUCUUCACCUUCUUCUUGGAGAUGCUUGCCUUAAGAUUCAACUUUUUCUUGAAAUCCUUCUUGUCUUUCUUUUUAUUGAUCUUAUCAACAAGAAAAACUUGAGCCUUUUCACCUUUGAAAUGGUUCUCUGCUGUUUUCAGCAUAUUUAGUAGCUCAGGCAGGCUGAUAUUCAAUUGGUUCAUAAGGUAGUUGAUGACAAACUGAGAGAAA
rnacentral:lncRNA from 1 species